UUUCUAUCUAUUAAAUAUAUAAUAUAGGAGCAUUGAUUAGUGCAACUCGUAACUGUUUUAUCCAUUAGGUUAACGACAAUUGUAACUUUGCGCGAUGCGUAUAAUUGUUUAAAUUGUAAGGAGGGAUGCGCCCCUCUUACAUUUAUUAUGGGGUUAUCCGGCUUAACAUGCUGUCAAUGUUUAAGAAUUAGUCUCUAUUCGAAAUCCAUCGUGUGAUUUUUAAGUAACAUAGUUCGAUUCUCUCGCGAACGGAUAAUGGUGCGUAGACAUGGGCGACCAGACGACGAUGACGGGCUUUUCAACCGGCGAGCGUCAGGCAGCACAGUCCUUUCUCAGGGAUUUUGUAAAUGUGCUUAGUGCCUGUAUUUGAUAAUUAUUGUAAAUUUAUAUCGUAGUUCAGUAGUUUGUUUAACGGCUUGUUCAAGCUGCCAGCGAUUGUGCGAUACAGAGUGUCGAGGAGACAGAAGCAGUCUCGAAUUGUCUUUUCCGCGAUAAAUUUUGCUACUGGUACGCACUAUACGUAUUAUCUUGUAUUUUAUAAUUAUUUUAAUUGGUUUUAUUCAUUUCAUCCACUGGCUCAUAGAGAGCCGAUAGGAUUUAUAUUUUACUGAAUAUUCUAGCGACAAUUCGCUAGAAUACAGGGCAUCUACUCAAUGUAUCGAGUCAUUCAUUAACAGCGUAUCUUAUCAGUCAGCUAAUCGUUUGUUCUUUUUUCAACCGAUAUUGUAUUUUAUUUUUUGUAUAAUGUUCUAUAUUUAAUUUUUGUAUAAUUCGAGGCUGUUCUUCCUGAGCGAGAAUCUUUUUCAAACACGAUCAACGGUAAACACUUUGUGGUGUACCUUUGCCAGAAAAUAUUAAUAUAGCCUCGCUGUUUAACCGAUUGUGUUGGCGUCUAAUUUAUAUUAAAUCUAUAUCGAGUUCCAGUGUAUGGCGAAAUCUAUUUAUUUUAUUUUAUUUUUAUCUCAAUUUAAAUGAUACACCCCGAUGGUACAUCUUCUAUUAUUUGCGUUUAUUUAUUUAUUAACUCAUUUUAUUUAUUAUUUAUGGAUAAUUAUUUAUUUAUUUUAUAUUGUAUCUGUUUGAUACCAAAGACCUCUGUGCCCCGACAUUGUUGUGACGCACGAAUUCUCGAAGACCGUCAUCAUUGCUAAUGUAACCGUGCCGUUCAAAAAUAUAUUUAAGACGCUCGAGAAGACAGAGUUGAAUAAAAUUCUGAAGUAUUGGCCCUUCGUCAACUCGAUACGUAGGCACGGUUACACCGCCCAUAUUGACGGCUUCGUUGGAGGCGGCCUGAGAGCUUGGUACCCGUGGAACGAUCACCUGCUGACCCUGCUGCGUCUCUGCGAGACGCUUGGUGGUCUCUGAAACUGUCGCCUGGUCUCCAGACAUGUACAUCGAACAUGUCUGGUACCAGACAAUAUCGUGUGCCAAUCCCAGGGGACCAGACCGAGGAACCUGUCGCACACGAUGAUCCGGAACCGAGUGAACGCAAUGACGUUCAUGACGGCGUAAGCGCGAGCUGCUGCCUCCCACCGAUUCAUAAUUUUAACCUAUUUGACUUUAGCUUUUUAAAGUUAAUUUUCAACGAACUUUAAUCUUGUUUACUACUUAUUUUAUUUUGAAUUUAACACCUAUUUUAUCUUAAAUUUUAAAUUUUAUUAAGCAUUCACUCGUUGCUGGAUCUAUAGACACACAUUUUUAGCCGCGUAUAUUAUCGUUCCUUUUAUAAUUUUUACAAUUCUUUUAUUAUUUUGUAAAUCUAUUGUUUUAACCCUUUUAUCUUUUCUUUAUGCUUUCUGUUAAGGUGCAAAAGUCAUGUACAUGGAUGCUGGCGCCAAUGCGGGGCGCCAGCUCUAUUUCAGCCAUGUUUCUGUUUAAAUACACACUGGCGACUGCCACCGCAGCGAACACGCGUGCAGCACCAGCUGUGCCUCCAAACUAAUUUUAUAUUUUAUUUUAUUCUAUUCUGUUUAUAUACUAAUAUUUUAUACCCUGUUUAUUGAUUGAUUUAUCUAUCUUAACUGUAAUAUUUUAAGCGCGCAUGAAGGAGAGGAGCCUCUACAGCCCUCUCCUACUUAUAAUUUAUAUAAUGUAGGCCAAGAGGCCACUCUUGCGAGACUAUGUACCAUCUCGCGGCGGUUGACUUUGUCCCCGCGGGAAACAUGGCUUAAAGAAUAAAGCUCAAUUAAUUUGUUCUUAUCAGUUUAAUACCUCAUACAUCCUCCAUAGGAGGGAGGGUCAGUAUAUGAACCUGAUUUUUGGAAUCGGAUGGAGUUGGCAGAGUUCACUCCUCAACCACCGCGAAUUAGCGCGGUAUUGCAGUGCCACUGGAAGUGGCCCAAUCCACAGGUUCCAAACAAUCAACGUUUUCUCGACCUGUGACGACCCGAUACCGACCUGGAACGAUUUGGCGACCCGCGGGUUCUCUCCAGACGACCAAGAGGAAGACCGUCCCGGCGUCUGGAGGAAGUGAAUAGAGCCGCGAGGAAAAGACCACCCACCCACCACUCCUCGAGGGGAGAAGAAAGAUCUGUGUGGAGUGCGACUUUCCUAGGCGGAAGAGGAGAGCUGUGAUGAGUGGAGAUCACCCCGGGUAGGAGCGCAUGAGUACGAGUCGCACGAUAACGUGCAUCGGCCAGGUCGCUGCCACCGUGUAGAGGACGAUCGGUGGAACCUCUCCUGCUAUACCUGUAGAAGACGAAGCAUGGGUAGUCGCGAAGAGAGGAGCCAGACCAGAAGAGGGCGCCUUUGAAUACGAGAAGGAAGGAGAGCAGCACCACGCAAAGAGAGGUGUUGCUCGUGCCGCGAUCUGAGGUGUUCAGCUGCCCGUUUUGCUACGCAGGACCAUCUUCAGCGCAGAUGAAGAGUUGGGGACUGUGACCAGAGGUCUGAUGACUUCUCAAAGCACGACUACAGCGACAAUAAAGACGAUAACAGCGGUAACAGGAUGUCGUCACCCCUGAUGACGGAGACCAUUAUGUGUUCAGGGUAACGACCAGAAUUUUAUUAAUGACACCGAAGAGAAGCGUCAUGGAGAGCAUCGCUGGCGUUCUAAUGCGCGACGUCGUGCCCUCCUACACUACCUGCAUCGACAGAUUUAGCCUCGCCUCCGAGCAGCACCGCGAAGAUGUUUUCCGGCGUUGGAUAGCGCAUUGGAGAACGAGUUAUUUGCGACCUAUGGUGUUUCUUGGAUACUUUUUAUCCUCUCGAUGAGUAGAUCACGAUGCAACAAUAAAAAACUUUGAUCUUGAGAAAACCGGCCAAGUACAAUUUUGCACGUUAUUUUUCAAACAGAUCUCCACUGAUCCAAUGAUGCAGAAUCUAGCUGUGGAUAGUCUAUACACAUAAUUUUGCCAGCUCCAUCAUCCAUCUUCAGGUUCCUCACCCCAGUGGUGAAACUGACCCGGCUCCCGUACACCUUAUGAAGCUCAGCGUCGCCAAGCUGCAGCAGGGACAUCACCUGGCGCUCGGAUACUCUGGUUUCUGAGGACGCCGAUCAGUCCCCUCCCCACCAGGGAUGUGAGAGGAAGACCCUGUUGCAGCCACAAGCCCGAAGGCAACGUCGAAGAGGAGCCUUGCGACCCGACCCGAAGGACCGGGAUGGAUUUCAACAUCGUCUUCCUCGAAACAAAAAAGCAUCGGGGACAAAAGCUGGACUCCAGCCCGAAUCCGUUGCAGUACGAGGAGAGGGGGACAUCUAUUAAAACCACCACCAGCAACAGCCCCUCUACAACAGCAACAAUAGCCACAACAACAACAGCAGCAGCGUUAUUCGCGGGUCCCCCUCACAGGCGCCAGCGUAGUGCGCUCUGAUGUGGAGUGAAGCCAAGCCGUCUCGCGGCCAAUAGCAGCACGCGCGAACACCGCAAACAUGGCCGUAGAGUGCAAAGUCAAACGAAGAUACAGGAUCCAAAAUUGUAUCGGUCCAAAUGGAAGCGCGCGGCCGGGGAGGAUCCCACCGCCCACGGUUUCCGGUCGCAUGAGGGCCGCUCUCGCAGAGCGCUAUGCGACGCGAUUAUUUAGUAAAAAAAACCAGAGUGAGGUUUUCGAUGCAACCAUCCGCCAUGGAAUGAGUAAUCACUUCAUGUGGACAAGGCAUACCCGCUUCGCCGACUGGCGUUUUUUCCACUGUGCGUGCCUCGACGUGUUCCCCUUAAAUGGGGCGCGAAUGAUUAGCGCUGUCGACGAUGCGGGUAUAAGUCGGAGACCUUACCACCCCCCGUGCUCUGCCACUGCAGGCCUGCAUGUCGAUUGCGGCACAACCGCAUUGUCGAGCUUGUUGCGGCUUUCAGAUUCCCAGGCAAUCUCAAGGUAAACCAGAGAGUCCCAAGCGGAAAUCUCUCGGUCUUGCGUGACCUAGUCGUGACGCAUGAGUCAUUGAGAACUGUCGUCGUGAUCGACGAAGCCGUGCCUUUCGAGAACACCUUCGAAGCACUGGGGAAGGCAAGUAUGGAAAAAAUACUUAAGUAUCAACCCCUUGCCAACUCAUGCGCAGGCGCGGUUACGUCGUUCACGUCGACGGGUUUGCUGUAGACACCCUUGGAACGCCUGCUGGCUCUGUUGCGCGUUUCAUCGGGCUGGUCUGAUGAGAUGAUUGAUAUUGUCGGAGACGAUCGCGUGGUCCCGUGACGUGUACGUUGAGCACGGAAACAAGAGUGCUCCCUUCUGGAGCCCUUAUGGCACUUGAAGUAUCGAUCCCGGGACCGAGUGGAUGCGAUGACAUUAGCGGAACCGUGAACUUCGUCGAAACAAACAUUUAAGUUAAAUUGACGCUAGCACAACGUGAGCUAGCUCAAAUUUUAUUCUUAAUAACAUUUUUAUUCUUUUAAGUAUGGACAAUUAAGCUAUUUUAUCCGUAGAUUCUUUCAUUUUACUUUCUUUCUCUUUUAAUAAGCAGCCACUCUGCUCCGGGCCGUCUGCAACAGUAUCAUUUGGUCCACCUCAGCCGCGUUUUAUUCGUCCUCCGAUUAUAUAAUUUCUCGCGAGCGUAUGUACACGUGGCGACCCAUUGGCCGUAAGACGCGUGGACCGAGAAACGGGUGCCCUGGUCCAGUCACACAACUAUUCAUAAGUCUAGUCAUUCACUUACUCCGGUCAUAGUUACCUAUUUAUCCCUAUUUAUUUAUUUAUUAU